CUUGCUUGUUUCAAGNUAAGCCAUGCAAGUCUAAGUAUAAGCUAAAUUAUACGGCAAAACUGCGAAUAGCUCAUUACAACAGUUAUAAUCUAAACGAUGAUCAUUACUAAAUGGAUAUCCAUGGUAAUUCUGGAGCUAAUACAUGCUAAAACCUCUUGUAGGUGCAUUCAUUAGUUCGCGAAUCAUCCAGAAGGGCAACCUUCGGUUCUUGAUGAUCAGAGUGAAAAAGCGGAUCUCAUUUUGAGACAGUUCGUUCGAGUUUCUGACCUAUCAGCUUUUGUCGGUAGGGUAUUGGCCUACUGAGGCAGUAACGGGUAACGGGGAAUUAGGGUUCGAUUCCGGAGAGGGAGCCUGAGAAACGGCUACCACAUCUAAGGGUGGCAGCAGGCGCGCAAAUUACCCAAUCCCGACACGGGGAGGUAGUGACCAGAAAUAGCGGCGUGGGGCAUUUGCUUCACGACUGCAAUGAGUAAAAUGCAAAGUCGUUUGCGAGUAACAAUUGGAGGGCAAGUCUGGUANA
rnacentral:rRNA from 1 species